rnacentral:rRNA from 1 species
CCUACGGGGGGCAGCAGUGGGGAAUAUUGGACAAUGGGCGCAAGCCUGAUCCAGCCAUGCCGCGUGGGUGAAGAAGGCCUUCGGGUUGUAAAGCCCUUUCGUCCGGAAAGAAAAGCUCGAGGUUAAUACCUUCGGGUCCUGACGGUACCGGAAGAAUAAGCACCGGCUAACUUCGUGCCAGCAGCCGCGGUAAUACGAAGGGUGCAAGCGUUACUCGGAAUUACUGGGCGUGGUGCGUUCGGUGGUGGGUGAAAGCCCUGGGCUCAACCUGGGAAUUGCAUUGGAUACUGGCGGGCUAGAGUGCGGUAGAGGAUGGCGGAAUUCCCGGUGUAGCAGUGAAAUGCGUAGAGAUCGGGAGGAACAUCUGUGGCGAAGGCGGCCAUCUGGACCAGCACUGACACUGAGGCACGAAAGCGUGGGGAGCAAACAGGAUUAGAUACCCCAGUAGUC